CUUUGAACCUACCAGGCGGGAUCCGAAGGAACCCCGCCGCUGCAAGGCGUCCCACCCUUCCUUGCAGACUGUGCGGUGGAGAAAGCAGGGCUCCUGGUGGCCGAGCGCACGUGGGGUUAGGCAAGAACAUUCCAACCUCCAGCGUCUCACGUACUCGGUGCUCUCCAAUGCGGCCGACAUAAAGGAAGGAGUGCGGGCGAAGCCCCGCGCACAGUGAGACUUCCACCCCAAGGUAUCUGCAGGCCCGUGGGCCACCGGCCACAGAUGAAGAAGACUCCCAGGCCUAGGACCUCAUCCACACUGUUGACCUCUCAGAGUAACUGACAGACACCACGAGUGGAAGGAAGCAUGGCCACUGCUAAUGCCUGCACACCUGACCCCUUUGCCCUGGCAAACACCGUUAUGAUUUUGGAACGUGUACCUGCCAGUGGAGGGUUGGCAAUUUGGCCCCCCAGUGUAAGGAAUAAUUCCUCCCUAAAGUCAAGGUGUUAACAUGUUUGUCAUGUCUAGACAAUGAAUGGCCUCCCUCA